GUAGUCCACGCCGUAAACGAUGUCUACUAGCCGUUGGAGAACUUGAUUCUUUAGUGGCGCAGCUAACGCGAUAAGUAGACCGCCUGGGGAGUACGGCCGCAAGGUUAAAACUCAAAUGAAUUGACGGGGGCCCGCACAAGCGGUGGAGCAUGUGGUUUAAUUCGACGCAACGCGAAGAACCUUACCAGGCCUUGACAUCCUCGGAACUUUCUAGAGAUAGAUUGGUGCCGCAAGGAGCCGAGAGACAGGUGCUGCAUGGCUGUCGUCAGCUCGUGUCGUGAGAUGUUGGGUUAAGUCCCGCAACGAGCGCAACCCUUGUCCUUAGUUGCCAGCACGUAAUGGUGGGAACUCUAGGGAGACUGCCGGUGACAAACCGGA
rnacentral:rRNA from 1 species